rnacentral:rRNA from 1 species
AGAACGAACGCUGGCGGCAUGCCUACUACAUGCAAGUCGAACGAACUCUUCGGAGUUAGUGGCGCACGGGUGCGUAACGCGUGGGAAUCUGCCCCUUGGUUCGGAAUAACAGUUGGAAACGACUGCUAAUACCGGAUGAUGACGAAAGUCCAAAGAUUUAUCGCCAAGGGAUGAGCCCGCGUAGGAUUAGCUAGUUGGUGAGGUAAAGGCUCACCAAGGCAACGAUCCUUAGCUGGUCUGAGAGGAUGAUCAGCCACACUGGGACUGAGACACGGCCCAGACUCCUACGGGAGGCAGCAGUAGGGAAUAUUGGACAAGUGGGCGAAAGCCUGAUCCAGCAAUGCCGCGUGAGUGAUAGAAGGCCGUUA